rnacentral:rRNA from 1 species
GAUGAACGCUGGCGGCGUGCCUAAUACAUGCAAGUCGAGCGAACGGACGAGAAGCUUGCUUCUCUGAUGUUAGCGGCGGACGGGUGAGCAACGCGUGGAUAACCUACCUAUAAGACUGGGAUAACUUCGGGAAACCGUAGCUAAUACCGGAUAAUAUUUUGAACCGCAUGGUUCAAAAGUGAAAGACGGUCUUGCUGUCACUUAUAGAUGGAUCCGCGCUGCAUUAGCUAGUUGGUAAGGUAACGGCUUACCAAGGCAACGAUGCAUAGCCGACCUGAGAGGGUGAUCGGCCACACUGGAACUGAGACACGGUCCAGACUCCUACGGGAGGCAGCAGUAGGGAAUCUUCCGCAAUGGGCGAAAGCCUGACGGAGCAACGCCGCGUGAGUGAUGAAGGUCUUCGGAUCGUANAACUCUGUUAUUGGGGAAGAACAUAUGUGUAAGUAACUGUGCACAUCUUGACGGUACCUAAUCAGAAAGCCACGGCUAACUACGUGCCAGCAGCCGCGGUAAUACGUAGGUGGCAAGCGUUAUCCGGAAUUAUUGGGCGUAAAGCGCGCGUAGGCGGUUUUUUAAGUCUGAUGUGAAAGCCCACGGCUCAACCGUGGAGGGUCAUUGGAAACUGGAAAACUUGAGUGCAGAAGAGGAAAGUGGAAUUCCAUGUGUAGCGGUGAAAUGCGCAGAGAUAUGGAGGAACACCAGUGGCGAAGGCGACUUUCUGGUCUGUAACUGACGCUGAUGUGCGAAAGCGUGGGGAUCAAACAGGAUUAGAUACCCUGGUAGUCCACGCCGUAAACGAUGAGUGCUAAGUGUUAGGGGGUUUCCGCCCCUUAGUGCUGCAACUAACGCAUUAAGCACUCCGCCUGGGGAGUACGACCGCAAGGUUGAAACUCAAAGGAAUUGACGGGGACCCGCACAAGCGGUGGAGCAUGUGGUUUAAUUCGAAGCAACGCGAAGAACCUUACCAAAUCUUGACAUCCUUUGACAACUCUAGAGAUAGAGCCUUCCCCUUCGGGGGACAAAGUGACAGGUGGUGCAUGGUUGUCGUCAGCUCGUGUCGUGAGAUGUUGGGUUAAGUCCCGCAACGAGCGCAACCCUUAAGCUUAGUUGCCAUCAUUAAGUUGGGCACUCUAAGUUGACUGCCGGUGACAAACCGGAGGAAGGUGGGGAUGACGUCAAAUCAUCAUGCCCCUUAUGAUUUGGGCUACACACGUGCUACAAUGGACAAUACAAAGGGCAGCGAAACCGCGAGGUCAAGCAAAUCCCAUAAAGUUGUUCUCAGUUCGGAUUGUAGUCUGCAACUCGACUACAUGAAGCUGGAAUCGCUAGUAAUCGUAGAUCAGCAUGCUACGGUGAAUACGUUCCCGGGUCU